UGGGGAAUUUUGGACAAUGGGCGAAAGCCUGAUCCAGCAAUGCCGCGUGUGUGAAGAAGGCCUUCGGGUUGUAAAGCACUUUUGUCCGGAAAGAAAUCCUCUGGGUUAAUACCUCGGGGGGAUGACGGUACCGGAAGAAUAAGCACCGGCUAACUACGUGCCAGCAGCCGCGGUAAUACGUAGGGUGCAAGCGUUAAUCGGAAUUACUGGGCGUAAAGCGUGCGCAGGCGGUUUUGUAAGACGGAUGUGAAAUCCCCGGGCUUAACCUGGGAACUGCAUUCGUGACUGCAAGGCUAGAGUAUGGCAGAGGGGGGUAGAAUUCCACGUGUAGCAGUGAAAUGCGUAGAGAUGUGGAGGAAUACCGAUGGCGAAGGCAGCCCCCUGGGCCAAUACUGACGCUCAUGCACGAAAGCGUGGGGGAGCAAACAGGAUUAGAUACCCUGGUAGUCCACGCCCUAAACGAUGUCAACUAGUUGUUGGGGAUUCAUUUCCUUAGUAACGUAGCUAACGCGUGAAGUUGACCGCCU
rnacentral:rRNA from 1 species